rnacentral:lncRNA from 10 species
AAAAAUUUUGAUGCAGUUUCAACUAAAAUUCUAACAGGGUUUUUCAAAGGAACUUAACCAACUUGAUUUGGAAACGUAUAUGGAAGAACAAAGGACCAAGCACUUCCAAAAAAGAAUAAGGGAUGAAGACCACACAUUGUUGUCAGCAAACAAAAACUCAGGUACCAUAUUGCAAUGAAUACUACCUAAAGAAUCUACAAGAGAAU